CAGCAUGGAGACUACUAAAGUAGAAUCAAGACCUGCUGGAAAAAUAACCGUGUGUUGAACUAGGAAGCCAUACAGAAGCCAAAGAACUCCAUAUUGUCUCCUGCAUAUUGCAAAUGAUGUUCUGAUUGGAGCUACCAAGGGCCCUAGAAGCAGAAAGUACCAUCAGUCCCAAGCUUUGUUCUGCGGAGGAACAGAUGUUAUGAAGUGAUGAAUGGAGAAAUCUCAGCUGCCCCACAGAGGGUCCCAUGGGUGAAGAAAAUUUUAAAUAUGCCAAGUUCCAGAGUUAUCCUUCCUCUCUACAGGUCUUGAAAAUAAAUCACAUUGAAAUCA